GAUGAACGCUAGCGGCAGGCCUAACACAUGCAAGUCGAGGGGCAGCACGUCUUCGGAUGGUGGCGACCGGCGCACGGGUGCGUAACGCGUAUGCAACCUACCUCUUACAGUGGGAUAGCCCAGAGAAAUUUGGAUUAAUACCGCAUAGUAUACAGAUUCAGCAUUGGGACUGUAUUAAACAUUUAUGGGUAAGAGAUGGGCAUGCGUUCUAUUAGUUAGUUGGAGUGGUAACGGCACCCCAAGACAGCGAUAGAUAGGGGCCCUGAGAGGGGGAUCCCCCACACUGGUACUGAGACACGGACCAGACCUCGUACGGGAGCAGCAGUGAGGAAUAG
rnacentral:rRNA from 1 species